rnacentral:rRNA from 1 species
AGAGUUUGAUCCUGGCUCAGGAUGAACGCUGGCGGCGUGCCUAAUACAUGCAAGUCGAGCGAACGGAUGAGAAGCUUGCUUCUCUGAUGUUAGCGGCGGACGGGUGAGUAACACGUGGAUAACCUACCUAUAAGACUGGGAUAACUUCGGGAAACCGGAGCUAAUACCGGAUAAUAUUUUGAACCGCAUGGUUCAAAAGUGAAAGACGGUCUUGCUGUCACUUAUAGAUGGAUCCGCGCUGCAUUAGCUAGUUGGUAAGGUAACGGCUUACCAAGGCAACGAUGCAUAGCCGACCUGAGAGGGUGAUCGGCCACACUGGAACUGAGACACGGUCCAGACUCCUACGGGAGGCAGCAGUAGGGAAUCUUCCGCAAUGGGCGAAAGCCUGACGGAGCAACGCCGCGUGAGUGAUGAAGGUCUUCGGAUCGUAAAACUCUGUUAUUAGGGAAGAACAUAUGUGUAAGUAACUGUGCACAUCUUGACGGUACCUAAUCAGAAAGCCACGGCUAACUACGUGCCAGCAGCCGCGGUAAUACGUAGGUGGCAAGCGUUAUCCGGAAUUAUUGGGCGUAAAGCGCGCGUAGGCGGUUUUUUAAGUCUGAUGUGAAAGCCCACGGCUCAACCGUGGAGGGUCAUUGGAAACUGGAAAACUUGAGUGCAGAAGAGGAAAGUGGAAUUCCAUGUGUAGCGGUGAAAUGCGCAGAGAUAUGGAGGAACACCAGUGGCGAAGGCGACUUUCUGGUCUGUAACUGACGCUGAUGUGCGAAAGCGUGGGGAUCAAACAGGAUUAGAUACCCUGGUAGUCCACGCCGUAAACGAUGAGUGCUAAGUGUUAGGGGGUUUCCGCCCCUUAGUGCUGCAGCUAACGCAUUAAGCACUCCGCCUGGGGAGUACGACCGCAAGGUUGAAACUCAAAGGAAUUGACGGGGACCCGCACAAGCGGUGGAGCAUGUGGUUUAAUUCGAAGCAACGCGAAGAACCUUACCAAAUCUUGACAUCCUUUGACAACUCUAGAGAUAGAGCUUUCCCCUUCGGGGGACAAAGUGACAGGUGGUGCAUGGUUGUCGUCAGCUCGUGUCGUGAGAUGUUGGGUUAAGUCCCGCAACGAGCGCAACCCUU